rnacentral:rRNA from 1 species
UACAGAGGUCUCAAGCGUUGUUCGGAUUCAUUGGGCGUAAAGGGUGCGUAGGCGGCGUGGUAAGUCGGGUGUGAAAUCUUGGAGCUUAACUCCGAAACUGCAUUCGAUACUGCGGUGCUUGAGGACUGGAGAGGAGACUGGAAUUCAUGGUGUAGCAGUGAAAUGCGUAGAGAUCAUGAGGAAGACCAGUGGCGAAGGCGGGUCUCUGGACAGUUCCUGACACUGAGACACGAAGGCCAGGGGAGCAAACGGG